rnacentral:rRNA from 1 species
GAGUUUAAUCCUGGCUCAGAAUGAACGCUAUCAAUUUACUUAACACAUGUUAGUUUAAUGAUAUUUUUGUUUAUGGAAAUAUCAUAGCGCACGGGCGAGUAUAUAUAAUAUUUUACCUUAAAGUUUAGAAUAAUGAUUUAUCAAAAUACUAAAAAGUACGUACAGUACGCUUUAAGAUAAUUUUAUUGAAGAUUAGGUUGUUGGUAAAGUAAUAGCUUACCAAGCCGAGGAUCUUUAGUUGGUUUGAGAGAAUGUACAACCGCAUUGGAACUGAGAUAAGGUCCAAACUUUUUUGAAAAGGCAGCAGUGGGGAAUCUUGGACAAUGAGCGAAAGCUUGAUCCAGUAAUAUUGAGUAAGUGAAGAUAAUUGCAUUUUUGUAAUUUUAAAGCUUUGUUAGUAAAGAAGAUUAUGACGUUAUUUACAAAUAAAGCGCCGGCAAAUUUCGUGCCAGCAGCCGCGGUAAUACGGGAGGCGCUAGUGUUAUUCGGAAUUACUGGGCAUAAAGGGUCUGUAGAUGGUAUUAUAAGUUUAUUGUUAAAUAUAUUAAAGCCUAACUUUUAAUAAUGCAAUAAAUACUGUAUUACUUGAGUAAAUAUAGAGGAUAGUAGAAUUUUUAAUGUAAGGCUGAAAUCUUUUCAUAUUAAAGGGAAUACCGAUUGCGAAAGCGACUAUCUGGGUUUUACUGACAUUGAGGGACGAAAGCACAGGUAGCCAAUAGGAUUUGAUACCCUAGUAGUCUGUGCCGUAAACGAUGAAUGUUUAUUUUUAGAGUAAUGAUCUUUAGAGAUUAAGUUAAUACUUUAAACAUUCCGCCUGAGAACUACGGUCGCAAGGCUAAAACUCAAAGGAAUUGGCGGGAGUCUAUACGAAUGGUGGAGCAUGUGGUUUAAUUCGAUAAUACGCGCAAAACCUUACCAGUCUUUGACAAUGUAAUAUCAUCAAAUGUAAAACUAUUUGAUGUUUUGUAGAAAUUACAGAUAUUAUAAACAGGUGUUGCAUGGCUGUCGCAAGCUCGUGCUGUGAAGUGGUUGGUUAACUCCUUUUAACGAGCGUAACCCUUUUUUUUAAUUGCUUUAUACGGCUCAUUAUAUUUUUAUAGUGAAAUUGUAUAAGAACUUUAAUAAAUACGAAUAUUAUCAUAAGAUAUAGGAAGAUAAGGAUCAAGGCAAGUACUCAUGACCCUUAUAGACUGGGCUACUCAUGUGCUACAACGGUAAUUACAAUAAGAGGCUAAAAUGUGAAUUGGAGCAAAUCUUUAAAAAUUAUCUUAGUUCGGAUUAAAGGCUGAAACUCGCCUUUAUGAAGUUGGAAUCAUAAGUAAUCGCAAAUCAGCAUGUUGCGGUGAAACUGUUACUGGAUUUUGCACACACCGCCCGUCACAUUAUGGGAAUUUGUUUUCUUUGAAAAAUAAUUUAUUAUUUGUAUAUUAUAUAGCAAAUGUUUUAUUAUAUGAACUUAUGUAAUAUACAAAUAAUUAUAUGACAUUUGAAAACGUGUAACUGUGGUGAAGUCGUAACAAGGUAACUGUACGGGAACUUGCAGUUGGAA